CCAGAUAUUAUUGCAUCCAAAGAUCAACUGUACCUAGAACAUAGAUACAGAGCCACUUGUCAUCAGGAAGCUGCUCUCUCAGCACAACGGAAAAUAUCUCAAUGACUUGACAUGUUCUGGUUGUGAAUUCAAGCUACAAGGGGACAGUGCUCUAAAAUGAGUAUCUCUGGGGAGAGAGAGAAGGGGGGCCCUGCCUCUAAAAUGAGUCUCUCAGGGGAACAUGACACCCAAACUAAGAGUCAGGGGCAGUAUGACUGUAGCCAGAUCCUUUUCAAUCUCUAUCCUUGUUCAAUUUGUGGUUCACCGGAUUCAUCAUCAUCAUCGAGACGAGGUACAGAACGUCCUGCUAACUAGCCAAGCUAGUCAGUACAUUAAGUAAGCUAGCUAGCUACUCUACCAACAGCAUCCUAGUUAUCCUAUCCUAACAUUAUCACCGGCUGCCUGUAUUUCUUGUGGACCGAUGGAGCUCCCCGGUUGUUUCUUCCACCUGUUAAAUCCCGUGGAGUGCUUCUCUCUCUCAUUGACGGAUGCUGGUUACCUCUAUCUGGUUCUCCUCUCUUCACUAGAUUGACGAUAACUUUAGGAUUUAA